UAAGGUUAAGUUAAUAAGGGCGCACGGUGGAUGCCUUGGCACUAGAAGCCGAAGAAGGACGUGACUAACGACGAAAUGCUUUGGGGAGCUGUAAGUAAGCGCUGAUCCAGAGAUGUCCGAAUGGGGGAACCCACUAGUUAAUGACUAGUAUCCAUAUCUGUUAAGGAUAUGAGAAGGAAGACGCAGUGAACUGAAACAUCUAAGUAGCUGCAGGAAGAGAAAGCAAAAGCGAUUGCCUUAGUAGCGGCGAGCGAAACGGCAGGAGGGCAAACCGAAGUGUUUACACUUCGGGGUUGUAGGACUGCGAUAUAGGAUUAAUCAUUAUAGAAGAAUUACCUGGGAAGGUAAGCCAAAGAGAGUAACAGCCUCGUAUUUAAAAUGAUAGAUUAACCUUAGCAGUAUCCUGAGUACGGCGAGACACGCGAAAUCUCGUCGGAAUCUGGGAGGACCAUCUCCCAACCCUAAAUACUCUCUAGUGACCGAUAGUGAACCAGUACCGUGAGGGAAAGGUGAAAAGCACCCCGGGAGGGGAGUGAAAUAGAACCUGAAACCGUGUGCCUACAACAAGUUCGAGCCCGUUAAUGGGUGAGAGCGUGCCUUUUGUAGAAUGAACCGGCGAGUUACGAUAUGAUGCGAGGUUAAGUUGAAGAGACGGAGCCGUAGGGAAACCGAGUCUUAAUAGGGCGCCAUAGUAUCAUGUUGUAGACCCGAAACCAUGUGACCUACCCAUGAGCAGGUUGAAGGUGAGGUAAAACUCACUGGAGGACCGAACCAGGGCACGUUGAAAAGUGCUUGGAUGACUUGUGGGUAGCGGAGAAAUUCCAAACGAACUUGGAGAUAGCUGGUUCUCUCCGAAAUAGCUUUAGGGCUAGCGUCGAUGUUAAGUCUCUUGGAGGUAGAGCACUGUUUGGGUGAGGGGUCCAUCCCGGAUUACCAAUCUCAGAUAAACUCCGAAUGCCAACGAGAUAUAAUCGGCAGUCAGACUGCGAGUGCUAAGAUCCGUAGUCGAAAGGGAAACAGCCCAGACCACCAGCUAAGGUCCCAAAAUAUAUGUUAAGUGGAAAAGGAUGUGGGGUUGCACAGACAACUAGGAUGUUAGCUUAGAAGCAGCUAUUCAUUCAAAGAGUGCGUAAUAGCUCACUAGUCGAGUGACCCUGCGCCGAAAAUGUACCGGGGCUAAAACAUAUUACCGAAGCUGUGGAUGACACAAAAGUGUCAUGGUAGGAGAGCGUUCUAUGUGUGAAGAAGGUGUACCGUGAGGAGCGCUGGAACGCAUAGAAGUGAGAAUGCCGGUAUGAGUAGCGCAAGACAGGUGAGAAUCCUGUCCACCGUAAGACUAAGGUUUCCAGGGGAAGGCUCGUCCGCCCUGGGUUAGUCGGGACCUAAGGAGAGACCGAAAGGUGUAUCCGAUGGACAACAGGUUGAUAUUCCUGUACUAGAGUAUAUAGUGAUGGAGGGACGCAGUAGGCUAACUAAACCAGACGAUUGGAAGUGUCUGGU
rnacentral:rRNA from 1 species